rnacentral:sRNA from 1 species
CUUGAUGCUGCAUACUGCAGCUCUUCAGCAGCAGCAUUUAAGCAGCUCCCAGCUUCAGAGCCUUGCUGCCGUUCAGGCAAGUUUGUCCAGUGGAAGACCAUCUACAUCUCCCACAGGAAGUGUUACACAGCAGUCAAGUAUGUCCCAAACGUCUGUAAGUCCCUAAAUUUUUUUUUCUUGGAUUUAAAAUUUUAAAGAAUUGUUUUCCAAAAGUAAACUUGUUAUUUAUGAAGCUGUUGUUAUAAUUUGUUGCAUGCUGUU